rnacentral:rRNA from 1 species
AUUGAACGCUGGCGGCAGGCCUAACACAUGCAAGUCGAGCGGAUGAAGGGAGCUUGCUCCUGGAUUCAGCGGCGGACGGGUGAGUAAUGCCUAGGAAUCUGCCUGGUAGUGGGGGACAACGUCCGGAAACGGGCGCUAAUACCGCAUACGUCCUGAGGGAGAAAGUGGGGGAUCUUCAGACCUCACGCUAUCAGAUGAGCCUAGGUCGGAUUAGCUAGUUGGUGGGGUAAAGGCCUACCAAGGCGACGAUCCGUAACUGGUCUGAGAGGAUGAUCAGUCACACUGGAACUGAGACACGGUCCAGACUCCUACGGGAGGCAGCAGUGGGGAAUAUUGGACAAUGGGCGAAAGCCUGAUCCAGCCAUGCCGCGUGUGUGAAGAAGGUCUUCGGAUUGUAAAGCACUUUAAGUUGGGAGGAAGGGCAGUAAGUUAAUACCUUGCUGUUUUGACGUUACCAACAGAAUAAGCACCGGCUAACUUCGUG